CACACGGGCACAGGACCAGCUCCGGCUGCGAGAGGAGAAGAGGAAAAAACACCACCAACAACAACAACAGGGGCUCGCCAUUUGCUUGGGAGGACUCUGCCAGGAUGACAAAGGAGGACACUGCCGAAGUGGGGGAUGCCCAACCUACCUUGGAGUUUCAGAGUCCCGUUUCGGAGAUAAGGAAAAGGCCCAUGGUCCACCCCUCAGCUCCGGCUCCUCUUCCAAAAGACUACGCUUUUACUUUCUUCGAUCCGAAUGACCCGGCCUGCCAGGAAAUCCUGUACGAUCCCCGGACCACGAUCCCCGAGCUGUUUGCCAUCAUCAGACAAUGGGUGCCACAGGUGCAGCACAAGAUUGACAUCAUUGGGAACGAGAUCUUGAAGAGGGGUUGUCAUGUCAAUGACAGAGAUGGGCUGACAGAUAUGACCCUGCUGCACUACACCUGCAAAGCUGGAGCUCAUGGAGUAGGUGAUCCUGCAGCAGCACUUCGGCUGUCAAACCAGCUGAUAGCCCUGGGAGCUGACGUGAGUCUUCGCAGCCGCUGGACCAACAUGAACGCGCUCCAUUAUGCAGCCUACUUCGAUGUGCCCGAGCUCAUUCGGAUCCUGCUUAAGGCAGCCAAGCCUAAAGAAUUGCUGGGGAACAAAAGACUUCAAAACAAGUUCAGGUUCCAAGCAGCAGCAGAAGAAGAUCCACUUAUGGUUUGUGCUUCACAGGAAGCUGAGGUUGAAAACAAAGAUGUAGUGCCGGAGGCUGCAACCAGAGGAAGCUCCAAUCUAUUGCAGAAACACCCGCCACCCUAUGCUCACGUGCUGAACUCCACAUGCAGCGAUUUCUACCAUGGCACAGCACUGCACAUUGCAGCUUCAAACCUGUGUCUGGGCGCGGUGAAGUGUCUUCUGGAGCACGGGGCGAACCCCACUGUCAGGAACAGCAAGGGCCAGGGCCCUGCGGACGUGGUGCCCGACCCCAUGGACAUGAGCCUGGACAAGGCAGAAGCAGCCAUGGUGGCCAAAGAGCUGAAGCAGCUUCUGCUGGACGCCGUGCCCCUGAGCUGCAACCUGCCCAGGGUCACCCUGCCGAACUAUGACAACAUCCCUGGGAACCUGAUGCUGACUUCCCUGGGGCUGAAGCUGGGGGAACGAGUCAUGCUCGAUGACACGAAGACUGGCACACUCCGUUUCUGUGGCACAACAGAGUUCGCCAGUGGACAGUGGGUCGGGGUGGAGCUGGACGAGCCGGAGGGCAAGAAUGACGGGAGUGUGGGUGGCGUGCGCUACUUCAUAUGUCCCCCAAAACUAGGUAUUUUUGCACCAGUAUCAAAAAUCACCAAAGCCCUGGAUCAGACCCCCUCGUCAGUCACCUCCACCCCAAAAACUCCCCGCAUGGACUUCUCACGAGUUACCAACAAGAACAAGAAGGAGAAGAAGGAGAAAGACAGAGAGAAAGCUCUGCGAAAGAAAUCUCUGUCAGUGGGGAGUUUGGACCCCGAUGGUGUGAAGAUCGAACUCGGCGAUCAGGUCCUAGUGGCUGGACAGAAACAGGGGAUCAUUCGCUUCUACGGAAAGACAGACUUUGCUCCAGGUUACUGGUUUGGUGUGGAGCUGGACAAGCCUACAGGAAAACACGAUGGGUCUGUGUUUGGGGUGCGAUAUUUCAACUGCCUGCCGAAGCAUGGCGUCUUUGCCCCCCCUUCCCGUGUGCAGAGGAUUGGUGGGCCCAAAGACUCACAGAGCGACAGUACACUUGUGAAGAAGGUGCACCAGGUCACUAUUUAUUCCAGUGUCCCAGCCCAAACGUAACUUUGCCGCAGUGAGGACACCCAAGGACAUCACUUCAGAGAGCUCUAUAUCCAGACUGCUGUUCUGUUGCUGGUUUCCCUGGAUGCUCCGUGCGGAGAUGCAGUCCUAACUGCUUGCUGUCCUCACAUCCAUAGGUCAACUGCUCUCUUCCUCUCAGCACCUCUUUCAUUUCCGCUUUUCUCUGAGAAACCAACCAGACUGCUGCCAUAAUUACUACAGUAGAGAAGAAAAUACCCAUGGUCGCAGUCCUAUAGCAAACCUAGUGCCUUGUACCUUAACUAACGUCCCGCAUCCCGUUUGUUACACUAACAAAAAAGACAAAAAACUCUAUACCUGUAUAUGAUGUUUUAGUUUUAUAAGUUACCUGUUCUUGACAUUUCCUCUCCAGUGUUGUCUCUUAAAGUCCUUGAUUGCAUAACAAUUUGCCAAAUUAAUUUAUGAUGUUGAAAAGCAAGCAGGACCCCAAAAAGUCUUACUCGAGGCCAUGUUGGGAGUACCAGGGUCUUACUGUCCCCAUCAUGUGCUGCUAUAUUUUUUUUUUUUGCUGCUAACUCUAUUUCACCUGUGUUUAUAAUUUUAUUCAGUUAUUCCACUUUCGCAUGUACAGUACGUGUUAGAGAAAUGUAUGGUGUAAAAUUAUCAUUUAAUAUUUAGGCUACAUUCAUGCUUUAUUAGUAUUUAUUUCUUUUUAUGCAUGUCCAAACACGGGGUGAUACCCCACUAACAAUAAUCAAUACAAAUUCUGUUAUUAGUACAGAUAUUAGCACAGGCUGAAAAAAAUGUGUAUGCAACAUCUCCAUUUAGCACCUGUUAGCCCAGGUUAGCAGACUGUGAGAGGGGAAGUCCCCUGGUGGGAGUUCUGUGCACCAUCUCCCUUCUUCCUAGCUGGGUGGUCUUCUCUCGGGUCUUAAGCCAAAAGUGUUAUACACAUGAGUCGGGGGAAUGGGAUAGUCCCUGUGCCGUUUCAAUCUGAGUGAAUGUGGCAGCUACCAUGACUGUAUUGGCAAACCGAUUAACUUAGCAAAGGAGACGUCCAUUUCCCAAAAUCAAACAUAUACUGUAUGUAACUGUCUCCUUGGAGACCAACCUGGACCACUGCCUAAUUUGCAAAGCAAGAAUGCCUUGGAGAUGGAGGCCCGUCACUCCAGGGCCCCAGACAACUAUCUUACUGCAUGAGAUCAGAAGCCGCCUUACUGCGCAAACAGAGCUACAUUUCGUUCAGAACAAUAUGAUCUAGAGUACAGAAAGGCAUUAGAGUGAAAAUCAGACAGUCAGUUGCUAGAAACGUAGCCUGUAGCCAGACCUAACGCUAGGCCACACUAGGCUGAUAAGAGGGAGGACUGAGAAAUUACUUUGUGGACUGAGUUAAGAUAGAAAUUCUGAGGGGCCAGACUGUACAAAUCCAGAGUGGAAUUUAUUUAGCCCUAGUCUUAUGAACAGUGCUAGGAGAUCUUUCAUGACCGAGUAGUCAGUGCCUUGGUUUAAGGUUGUAUUCAAAGAGCAGUACCUCCUACAGCACAGUGUUCCCCGUCAUCAAUCUAGGCCAUUUGUCCAGUGGAAGAGCACCACCUACUGGUCCACCCCAACACCACUCACGGCUGGAAUUGUAGUUGUAUAUAUAGAAAUUUCAGCCAACCUCAGUUCAUCUUCCUGUAUCAUGCUUACAUAUUUUGUCCAUAUAUGGCCAUACAAAUGCCACAAAAGCCAAAAAAAAAAUCAGACAAUGAACAUAACUUAAAAACAUCAAAUGUUUCAUCACCAAGGGUUUGCCUGAUAGCUCUUCCUUGGUUCUAACCACAGAUCACACUUAAUGGACUUCAGUUUCAAAAAGCUGAAAACAAAAACAUCUUAAAGACACCUUACUUACAGAAUCUAGUGGGCACAUGAUUAUGGAAAAUUACUAAUUUACAAAACAAGUCAAACUGCUUUCAAGCACGUUAAGGCACAGGAGUCGCAGUGGAGCUCAGGGCGAGGGCAGCAGGUUGGAAACGUGAGAGUUUCCUUCCAGUUUCCAAACACAACCAUAAUAUUACACGAAUACACGUCACUGAAAAACUGCACAGCGCUUUUCACCAUAAUACAAAGUCGAUUACUACUAAAAAUAGCUACCGUUAAAAAGAAAAAAAAACACAUGAAAUUGAAUCGGACUUGAUUUGAAAGUUUGUUUGUGUUUGUUUUUGCUUUCCUUCAUAACGAGAAGAUACAGAUAUACUUUCUUUUCACCUGAGCGGACGUUAGUCAACGGUAAGAAUAGUACCGCUGAAGUAACAUCUACUUUCACCGCCCAAGUGUUUUUUUUUUUUUGCGUGUCUCAGUAAACAGACUUCGCAGACUUGAAGUAACACACGCCUGAAAUUUAGGAAACUUAACACUUCAGAACAAAAUGUCGUGUCUUACCGCAAUAUUGUUAACUGCUACAGGAUACACGGAGGCUGGCGGCGCUGCUCUCCCGCAACGGCUAAACUGACAGCUUCGCGUAACACAGCCAAAACACAGAAACAGACAUCUCAACCCUCUGAAACCGCUUUUCUUCACACUACCUGAUAGGAGACUUUACGUUACUUCUUCUCCGAUAAAAGUGUUAAAAUCGAUCAACGUCCAGCCGUUAAAUUCCGUUUUUUCUCUCUCUCUCUCGCGCGACCAGACCCUGCCCCGCCUUCACACACGUGCGUGGAUUUUGCCUCGCGGAGUAGCCAAAUCCCCCUCGUGCCAAACGUCUGCCGGUUGACGUCACUCGGCCCCGCCCUCACAGCUCAGCCAAUGAUGAUUGACGAUUCCGUCACCGAAGUCCCACCACUUGUCGCGAGAACUAAAGUCGAGACGAGUAAACUAACGAGACAGUGAACGACCUGCUGCGCAGCUUGCUUAUCAUGCCGCAGUGAUGGGCGUUUGUGACUGUAGGAGAAAACAAUAUUGUUAACAAAACUAUUAACAUUUUUCAGUCCACUACCUUCAAAAGACCAGUGAACACGUUUUAGCCACGUUUCAUGUUGUUUAAUAUGCGGAGAGGAUAAACCCGCUAGUUGCAGCUAAGUGUGCGUCUCGCCGCGCUACCCCGCCGUGUUAAUUUUGCUGCCUGUGACCUACGGUUUCGUUACCCCGCUCGGAAGCCCCUGUAAAUCAUAAAACGAGCGCUUUGCGGGCUGCCGUUUUCAAUCCUUGCAUUUCACUGCAGUAGAAUCGAACGGAAAUAAGUGAACGGACGUUCAUGUAAAUAGAUCAUUUUUCUCUGCACUUCAAGUGGUUUGUCUUUCGGUUGUUCGUAUCCUAACUGCAGACAGCUUAGACUGCGCCGGAACUGACGAUACAAACAUGUAACACAAACUGUCGAUGCUUCUCCGUGUAUGUAGUGGAACACUCUCCUUGCGUUAUACAGCGACGACUGUAAGUCUUGUUCUGUUGAGGAGAUAGAAUAGACCUGUCUUUGUGCUCUGAAAGUGACUUCCGUUACCAUAAACCACCGUAACGUGUGCGGUAUCUGACUACCGUUUGCUUAGUCGGUUAUACGGACUUGAACUUUUAUUUUCUUUAGUGAAAUGUUUUAGCUGUUUCACAAAGUGUACUUUUUAUGUUAUUUUAUUAUCUCCAAGGAGAUGGCAGACUUCCAUGUUUGUUUUCUCAUUCUCAGCUCUCACUGUUAAAUAGACAGAUUGUGGGGAUUGUACAACCAAUACUGAUGUCUUUGACUUUAUUAAGGAAUUGUAAACUGUUGCAUGCUCUUUCAGCUUUUUUUUUAAAGAUUGUUUUAUUUUUAUUUUAAAAGUUGUAUUUUAGCAUGGAGAUAUUCAUUAAUACUAAUACCACUACUAUGACAAAUAAAAAUAAUUUGAUGUGUUUUAUAA